GCCUAUAGGUGUAUCACCCUGAACCUGCCAGAUUUCAUCUGACCUCAGAAGCUAAGCAGAGCCAGGCUUGGUUAGUGUUGGAAUGGAAGAAUUCUAAUGAAGGAACAGUCUAAAUAAUCA
rnacentral:rRNA from 1 species